rnacentral:lncRNA from 1 species
ACGAACUAGACAAACAAUUGGAAUCAUAUCACAUCGUCAAAGUGUCGUGGCCCAAUGUGCACUGUAGAAGACAUCUUCAGUCUAGUGGAUUUAUUCUAUCCAAGAACCCUAUCAGGCCUGUGACCCAUUUUUGGGUCUUGACCCACCAGUUCGGAAGUACAGCUCUAAACGAUCUUCUCCAUUUGAGGGCUUCUCAGGCAUCUGGUUCUCAUGCAGAGUGAGUGGAGUGAAAAAUGAGAGGAAAGAAAGAGAGAAAUGGAUUGUGACGGAGGUAGCGAGGGUAAUAGGAUUGAGCCUGGACUCUGCGGGGUUGAGCUGCCCUCCUAACCGGACUCACUUCCUCUUCUCUCCUCUUCCCCACUGCGAGGUCAACCAGUCGUCCAUCAGAUCGCUGGCUAAUCCUUUCACAAUGAUUGAGUUGGACAAGUUUCUGAGACCAAAAGCGUAAAGAAGACGAUGAAUGAAAGAGAGAUCACACCCAAUAGAUGAGGUGAGUGAGGAUCUCAUGAGAUGUUUGUUGCCUGAAUGGAC